GACCCUUGAAAAAUCCAUUUCAGGAACAAAGGUCGAAUCAUUUCUAACAGGGCCACCAGUUUUUUCUCCAUUGUGUAUAGGAUAUCAUUAAAGUCCCCUAGCAUACACCAACUCCCUUUUCUACAAAUUCCAAUCCUUGAAAGACGUUCUCAGAUCUCAGAACGAUUUACACCAGAAGGAUCUCUGUAUACACAGGAUAUAAAGA
rnacentral:lncRNA from 1 species